GAUCAGGCUCAGGAUGAACGCUAGCUACAGGCUUAACACAUGCAAGUCGAGGGGAAACGACAUCGAAAGCUUGCUUCCGAUGGGCGUCGACCGGCGCACGGGUGAGUAACGCGUAUCCAACCUGCCCACCACUUGGGGAUAACCUUGCGAAAGUAAGACUAAUACCCAAUGAUAUCUCUAGAAGACAUCUGAAAGAGAUUAAAGAUUUAUCGGUGAUGGAUGGGGAUGCGUCUGAUUAG
rnacentral:rRNA from 1 species